CAGCCAUGUAGCGUUGAAACACCUGUUCCCGUAUGAUCACCGAAGUUAAGCAACGUUGAUCCUGAUUAGUACGUAGAUGGGUGACCGCUUGGGAAUGCCAGGUAUUGUAA